CCAAGAUGGCGGCGGCGCUGAAGGCCCCGGGCCUGUGACCACAAAGAGGGAGUUGGGGGCCGGACGGGAGCGCCGCGGCAGUAGCGGCGGCCGAGGCCAGGCCCCCCUCCCCUCAGUCUCCCGCCCCUCUGUCCUGCCCGCCCACCUCCGCCUGCCCUCCCGCCGGCAGCCCCGCCCCUCCCCCCAACCGCCCGACUAGCAUGGUGCUGCGGCCGCGCUCGCUGACAUGGGGGAGAAACUGGAGCUGAGGCUCAAGUCGCCCGUAGGGGCCGAGCCCGCCGUCUACCCGUGGCCGCUGCCGGUUUACGACAAACAUCACGAUGCUGCUCAUGAAAUCAUCGAGACCAUCCGAUGGGUCUGUGAAGAAAUCCCGGAUCUUAAGCUUGCUAUGGAGAAUUAUGUUUUGAUAGACUAUGACACCAAAAGCUUCGAAAGCAUGCAGAGGCUCUGUGACAAGUACAACCGGGCCAUCGACAGCAUUCACCAGCUGUGGAAGGGCACCACCCAGCCUAUGAAGCUGAACACUCGUCCGUCCAACGGGCUCCUGCGGCACAUCCUACAGCAGGUCUACAACCACUCGGUGACCGACCCGGAGAAGCUCAACAAUUAUGAGCCCUUCUCACCUGAAGUAUAUGGGGAGACCUCCUUUGACCUGGUGGCUCAGAUGAUUGACGAGAUCAAGAUGACUGAGGAUGAUCUGUUUGUGGACUUGGGGAGUGGUGUGGGCCAGGUCGUGCUCCAGGUCGCCGCAGCCACCAACUGCAAACAUCACUAUGGUGUCGAGAAAGCAGAUAUCCCAGCCAAGUACGCAGAGACCAUGGACCGAGAGUUCAGGAAGUGGAUGAAAUGGUAUGGAAAAAAGCAUGCAGAAUACACAUUGGAAAGAGGCGAUUUCCUCUCCGAAGAGUGGAGAGAGCGGAUCGCCAACACGAGUGUUAUAUUUGUGAAUAACUUUGCCUUUGGUCCUGAGGUGGAUCACCAGCUGAAGGAGCGAUUCGCAAACAUGAAGGAAGGUGGCAGGAUUGUGUCCUCAAAACCCUUUGCACCCUUGAACUUCAGAAUAAACAGUAGAAACUUGAGUGACAUUGGCACGAUCAUGCGUGUUGUGGAGCUGUCACCCUUGAAGGGCUCGGUGUCAUGGACGGGGAAGCCGGUCUCCUACUACCUGCACACUAUCGACCGGACCAUACUUGAAAAUUAUUUUUCUAGUCUGAAAAAUCCAAAACUCAGGGAGGAACAAGAGGCAGCUCGGCGCCGGCAGCAGCGAGAGAAUAAAAGCAACGCAACCACCCCGACCAAGGUGCCAGAGAACAAGGCAGCCGGCCCCCCAGAUGCCCCUGUGGAUUCUGGUGCUGAGGAAGAUAAAGUCGGAGCCACCGCCACCAAAAAGCCGUCUCCUUCUAAAGCCCGCAAGAAGAAGCUGAAUAAGAAAGGGAGGAAGAUGGCUGGCCGCAAGCGUGGACGUCCCAAGAAAAUGAACACUGCAAACCCCGAGCGAAAGCCCAAGAAGAACCAAACUGCACUGGAUCUCCUGCACGCUCAAACUGUGUCUCAGACAGCAUCUUCCUCACCCCAGGAUGCCUACAGGUCACCUCACAGCCCGUUCUACCAGCUACCUCCGAGUGUGCAACGGCCCUCCCCCAACCCACUGCUGGGGGCGCCCACCCCACCUGCGCUGCAGAAGCUGCUAGAGUCCUUCAAGAUUCAGUACCUGCAGUUCCUGGCAUACACAAAAACCCCCCAGUACAAGGCUAACCUGCAGCAGCUGCUGGACCAGGAGAAGGAGAAGAAUGUGCAGCUGCUAGGCACGGCUCAGCAACUACUCAGCCACUGCCAGGCGCAGAAGGAGGAGAUCAGGAGGCUGUUCCAGCAGAAGCUCGAUGAGCUGGGCGUGAAGGCUCUGACCUACAACGAUCUGAUCCAAGCCCAGAAGGAGAUCUCUGCACACAACCAACAGCUUCGGGAGCAGUCAGAACAGCUGGAAAAGGACAACAGCCAGCUGCGCAACCAGAGCCUGCAGCUGCUCAAGGCUCGUUGUGAAGAGCUGAAGCUGGACUGGGCCACACUGUCCCUGGAAACGCUACUGAAGGAGAAGCAGGCUCUGAGGAGCCAGAUCUCAGAGAAGCAGCGGCAUUGCCUGGAGCUGCAGAUCAGCAUUGUGGAGCUUGAGAAGAGCCAGCGUCAGCAGGAGCUCCUCCAGCUUAAGUCCUGUGUGCCUCCUGAUGACACCCUGUCUACACACCUACGUGGGAAAGGCACCCUGAGCCGAGAUCUGGAGGCUGACCCCGGCCGGCUACACCUUGAGCUGGACUGUGCCAAGUUCUCGCUGCCCCACUUCAGCAGCAUGAGCCCGGAACUCUCCAUGAAUGGCCACGCAACCAGCUAUGAGCUCUGCGGUGCCCUGAGCCGACCCUCAUCCAAGCAGAACACCCCCCAGUACCUGGCCUCCCCCUUGGACCAGGAGGUGGUGCCUUGCACCCCAAGCCAUGGUGGCCGGCUGCGACCGGAGAAGCUGUCUGGCCUAGCUGUGCCUGACUACACUAGGCUCUCCCCAGCCAAGAUUGUGCUGCGCCGGCACCUGAGCCAGGACCAUACAGCAUCGAGCAAGGCGGCCACCAGUGAGCUUCAUCCACGAGCUGAACACACCAAGGAGAAUGGUCUUCCCUACCAGAGCCCUGGCACAUCCAACAGCAUGAAGCUAAGCCCUCAGGACCCACGGCCUCCUUCCCCUGGAGCCUUACAGCUUGCUGGGGAGAAGAACAGUGAGAAGGGUCUAAAGGAGCGUGCGUAUGGCAGCAGUGGGGAGGCUAUCACUAGCCUGCCAGUCAGCAUCCCGUUGAGCACAGUGCAGCCCAGCAAGCUUCCUGUCAGCAUCCCUCUGGCCAGUGUGGUGCUGCCCAGCCGUGCAGAAAGAGUGAGGAGUACGCCGAGUCCUGUGCCACAGCCCCGAGACUCCUCAUCCACACUUGAAAAGCAGAUUGGUGCUAAUGCCCACAGUGCUGGCAGCAAGAGCCUUGCCCUGGCUCCCACAGGUUUCUCCUAUGCUGGCUCGGUGGCCAUCAGUGGGGCCUUAGUUGGCAGCCCUGCACCACUCGCGCCUGGAGCUGAGCCUGCUACUUUUGAGGAGUCCUCCAGUUCAGGGAGUCUCUUCGCCACUGUGGCGUCCCGGAGCUCGACGCCACAGCACCCACCCUUGCUGGCUCAGUCCCGCAGCUCCCGCCCAGCCUCUCCUGCCCACCAGCUCUCCUCCAGCCCCCGGCUGGGUGGGGCCACCCAGGGCCUCCUCCCUGACAUCAGCAAGGGAGACCUGCCCUCUGACACCGGCUUUUUAGAUCCGGAGAGUGAGGCCAAGCGGAGAAUUGUCUUCACCAUCUCCACUGGCAUCAGCUGCACCAAGCAGUCACCUUCUAGCAAGCACAGCCCUCUGAAUGUGGGUGCCCGUGGGGACUGUGGGCAGAGCCAUGGACAGGACAGCCGCAAGCGGGGCCGUCGAAAGAGAGCAUCUGCUGGGACCCCCAGCCUGAGUGCAGGCGUGUCUCCCAAGCGUCGGGCCUUGCCACCUGUGGUUGGCCUCUUCACACAGCCGUCGGGGUCCCCCCUCAACCUUAACUCCAUGGUCAGUAACAUCAAUCAGCCCUUGGAGAUUACAGCCAUCUCUUCCCCUGAGAACUCCCUGAAGAGCUCCCCCAUCCCCUACCAGGACCAUGACCAGCCACCCGUGCUCAAAAAGGAGCGGCCCCUGGGCCAGACCAAUGGGGCACACUAUUCCCCACUGACCUCGGACGAGGAGCAGGGCUCGGAGGAUGAACCCAGCAGUGUCCGAAUUGAGAGAAAAAUUGCAACGAUCUCCUUAGAAAGCAAAUCUCCCCCGAAGACCUUAGAGAAUGGUGGCAGCUUGGCAGGAAGGAAGCUGGCGCCCACGUGUGAGCCUGUCAACAGCAGCAAGUGGAAGUCUACCUUCUCACCCAUCUCCGACAUUGGCCUGGCCAAGCCUGCAGACAGCCCGCUGCAGGCCAACUCUGCCCUGAGUCAGAGCUCCCUGUUUGUGCUUCGGCCCACCUUGGAAGAGCCUGGUGCCUCUGAUGCCAAGCUAGCUGCUCACCCCAGGAAAGGCUUUCCUGGCUCCUUGCCAGGGGCUGAUGGUCUCAACUCGAGCCCCAACCCUUCCCAUGGCUUUGCCUUCAGCGGGGGCCUGGCCACAGAACUUAACCUCCAUAGCUUCAGUGAUGGUGCUUCUCUCUCUCAUAAGGGCCCUGAGGCCCUGGGCUCCCCCCUGAGCUUCCCUUCACAGCGGGGCAAAGAGGCCUCGGAGACCAACCCCUUCCUCAGCAGGAGGCAGCUGGAUGGCCUGAAGGGUGAGGGCUGCAAGGGCAAGGAGGCCGGUGAGGGCGGCCCAGCCCUGUGUGGGCCUGCCGAGAAGGUGCCCCCACCACUGAGCAACAAGGCCACCAAGGGCCGUGACCGCGAGCUUGACCUCAAGAAUGGCCACAACCUCUUCAUCUCUGCAGCGGCUGUGCCUCCUGGGGGCCUCCUCAGUGGCCCCAGUCUGGCCCCGGCAGUAUCCUCUGCAGGCAGCGUGGCGCCUCCCACCCAGACUCACCGGCCCUUUUUGGGCACCUUCACCCCAGGCCCGCAGUUCACACUGGGGCCUGUGUCCCUGCAGGCCAACCUCAGCUCAGUGGCAGGCUCAUCUGUGCUACAGUCCUUGUUUAGCUCCGUGCCGGCUGCCACGGGCCUGGUACACGUGUCCUCCGCCGCCACCAGAUUGACGAACUCACACGCCAUGGGCAGCUUCUCCUCCGGGGUGACAGGCGGAACAGUUGGAGGUAGGCAGGAGUACACCUCUCCCGCCUUUCUUGGUGCCUGAGGGCAGGGUUCUGGCUCCUAGCAGGUGGCAACUCCUUCCUGGACAGCUGUCAUCAGUCACCAGUGGCCUUGCAGGUUCCCUUACAGGGUCCUCCACAGGGCAAGCAACUGUGCCCACAAUUCCCCUUGUCUGCACUGGGACCUGCUGCCUCAUUCUUGUGAAGUCCAAGAGAUGGUUUGUAUGGGCAGUGAACUCUUCCCUGAGCCACUGUCAGGUUCUCUGGUUUUAACGGCGUCCUUCUUGUUUUCAGAAGGCCACAGUGCACAUGGUCACUAGGGCAUUACUCUCUCCCAUGGAGGUCACCUGUUUAAGAGUGACCGCCCCAGGCUUUGGCACCGCCUGGGAGCUGGUGUUGUAAGAGCGAGUCCUGCGGCAGACGCAGGCGGGAGCGGAGCCAGGCUGGAACUGCGCCCUGGGCCGGGCGGGCUCCCUGCAGGGCGGGCGGCAGGUGGGCCCGGAGGGGCAGGCGCCCACGCAGGUGUCUUUAACCACGCGGUGCCUUCCGCCUCUGCUCAUCCGUUUGGAGCCCGUGUCGGCCGUGGGGCUGUGUGCGGCAGCGCCACGCUGGGCCCGAGCCCACUGCAGGCGGCGGCCAGCGCCCCGGCCUCUUCCU